ACUUUUGACCAGGAGAUUAGUGUUUAUACUCCAUGUGAAACCAGAAGUGCACUUUAAUUAAUUUGUCACGUAACUUCAGUACUUGAGUUACGCCAAUUCUGUAGAUAUUUUAACCCAAAACUACGAUAUUUUCCUAAACCUAACUAAGUAUUGAAUUGACUGGAGCGUAAAUAGACUCGUGAGUCACGUGUUGCUGGACAUUCGUAGGAAAACACACGAAAAUGAGGAUUAACUUUUCGUAAGAUGUCAUAGAAACUGUUGUAUGAGGGUACAUUGUCAACACACAAGCAAGCAGGUGAUGAAAUACUCAUCCCUGUAUACUGCAGAUAUGGCAAUAAUGUAAUGUAAUAUAUAAAUGUAUAUCUUUUUUGGGGUCAGAAAUCUACUCCCCUAAAGUCACACAUUUUCUUUUGCCCUAUACAAAUAAUUUUAUUUAUUAGCGGUUAUCAAAUAACAACAAAGACUAAAGUUAAUGUCAUGUUUAAUCUUUAUUUCAGUAAAUGAAACGCGGCAAACUGCGCAGGUAAGAGUUUCGCCCACAUCCUCUAACGCCACCCAACUAAACUCAUGUUUCAAGAAUAACUGAAGUGCCGACAUAAACACGGGUUUGAAUGAUGCAGGUAUCAAAAUAUGCAGAAAAUUGGUUCCAUGAUUUUGCUUUUGAAUCUGCACAUCCCUGUAGCCUUCCCCUCACCCCUCUUCCUUUUUUUAAAACCUCUUUUUCACUGUCAGAUUAAAGCUUUGUACAUUACGCACA